CCUACGGGAGGCAGCAGUGGGGAAUAUUGCGCAAUGGGCGAAAGCCUGACGCAGCGACGCCGCGUGAGGGAUGAAGGUCUUCGGAUCGUAAACCUCUGUCAGCAGGGAAGAACGGUCACUGUGCUAAUCAGCAGUGAAUUGACGGUACCUGCAAAGGAAGCACCGGCCAAAUCCGUGCCAGCAGCCGCGGGAAUACGGAGGGUGCGUGCGUUAAUCGGAAUUACUGGGGGGAAAGUGCUUCUUGGCGGUAAGUGAAGUCAAGGGUGAAGUCCGCUGGGUCAACGUGGGAACGGCCAUUGAAACUGGCAAACUAGAGUGUGAGAGAGGAAAGUGGAAUUACAGGUGUAGGAGUGAAAUGCGUAGAUAUCUGGAAGAACAACAGUGGCGAAGGCGGCUAUCUGGCUCAUAACUGACGCUGAGGAGCGAAAGCGUGGGUAGCAAACAGGAUUAGAUACCCGUGUAGUC
rnacentral:rRNA from 1 species